rnacentral:rRNA from 1 species
CAAAUUAUUGUUAAGUGAAAAUAAGGUAGUGUUUAUCCAAGCCAACCAGGAAAUGGGCUUAGGAGCGGCCAUUUUUUAAAGACCUCGUAACAGAGCACUGGUUUUAUACAAUUUUGUAUGUAUUGUUAGAUGCACCUAAAAUUUAACGGAUCUAAAUAAUAUACCGAGACCUUGUCCAUAAAUAUUUAUUAUGUACAAGAUAUAUAUAAUAUAUAUGGGGUAGCGGAACAUUGGGCAUAUCUCARAUUUUUUCUUUUUAAGACUUAAGAUUAGAUUACCCAAGUGAUAAUGCUGACAUGAGUAACGAUAAAGGGUUUAUACCCUCGCCUAAAGCUUAUGGAAUUUACUUAAAGUAACGGCCUCUAAGUUUAAAUUUGCUAUAGUUUAAACAAACAACACUUGAUACCUAACUCUAACAGACGAUACAAGUGCAAAAUAGUAAAUACCUAAUGGUAUAAACGAUGAGAAAAAGCUAAGUUUUACAGAUAUAAAUAGCAUGAGUGUUGCAGGUAGGUAUUAUAUAUAUAAUGGAUUUUUUUUUUUUCUUUUUAUGCGUUAUUAUCCUUUGCACUCUUUUGAUAUAUUGGGGCCGGG